rnacentral:rRNA from 1 species
GACGAACCGUGCGAACGUUGUUCGGAAUCACUGGGCUUAAAGGGCGCGUAGGCGGCUUGCCAAGUCAGGGGUGAAAUCCAGCAGCUUAACUGUUGAAGUGCCUUUGAUACUGGCGAGCUCGAGGGAGGUAGGGGUCUGUGGAACUUCUGGUGGAGCGGUGAAAUGCGUUGAUAUCAGAAGGAACACCGGUGGCGAAGGCGGGUCUCUGGGCCGAUACUGACGCUGAGGAGCGAAAGCGUGGGGAGCGAACAGG